CAGAGAGUAUACAUUACUAAUUACACAUGGUUAUUAAUUUUAGACUAAAGUUGUGGUAUUGAAAAUAACCAAAUCAAACUUAUCUUAUGUUUUCCUCAGCUAAGGUUUCUUCUUCUUUAUUGUUGUGCACGUAUCUGUAACAAAAACAACUUCACCAAUUUGCGCCGUGAGCAGGUUGCCGCAAUUGAAAUUUGGGCUCUUUAUCCUCCGCCGUGACUUCACCAGAGCUCCACCAACCAAGAAGAAUCCGAAGAUUCGAUCGGCGGGAAGUGGUCUGUAUGUGCCUUAAUUCUUUCACAUGUUUUUGCUUUAAUUGUUUCUCCUCGUAAUAGAGCUCAGUGGUGAUCUUCGUUCUCGUCCUCUUCUCCGGCAUUCCAAACUCAUGGGUGUGUUGUGCUGCUAUUUUGCAACUGAUGCGGGUGCCCAAUUUGGCCACUCGAAUGUUGGGGGACUAAACGUGGUCGUCGCCAGAAGAAACUACUAAGGAGCUUUGAGAUUUCCAUGUUUGAGAUGUACUAAUUUUUUGGCUGAUCCAUGCUACACUCAAGACUUAUAUAUUAUGUUGGCGAGGAAUUCCUCUUCUUUUAAUGCCUAAAGAGGAUUAUAUUUUUUAACGACAAUAGUUAUGUUGGAUUCAAAUAGUCAUUUGUAAAUAAUUUGCUUCUAAUUGUUUCAUAGUUUUGGGUAUUACACAGUAUUACAUUGCGCAUUUC